rnacentral:lncRNA from 1 species
CACAAAAGCAAGCCUUUAAAUCUGAGCAUCUGAAACUGACUGGGCGUAAGAAACGACUGGAAUAUUGCAGCAUGCGGAGAAGAGGCCUCCUCUGGCACUCUGAACUCCACAGUAAGAGACCUCCUCUGGCUUGCCAAGCACAGAAGCAGUGUGUCUCCCCCAUCCCUACACGAGCUGCCUGUCAUUCCUAUCCCUCACUCCAUCUUCAUGGUGUCUCCUGACGCUGUUGGUGUCUCAUCCAGGACAUGACACCAGCAAUACAGGGAUCCUUGAAUUCAUCGACUUCCUGCAGCGCACAGCAAAACCUGGCAUGCAUGGUUUUUACCCUUUUAAAGACUCUAUUUGAAUCUGAAGAAUGUAAUUUGACUAUUUUGUACCUUUUCUCCCCCCAUGAAUUACUUUCUCCUCAUGGAAAUCUCCAUAGCUUAGAGGGUGGGGGAGGGGGUGUGGAUGGUCGAAGGGUAGAGACAGAACCAGGGGCCAGGAGAAAGCUGACAAAGCCCAGUCUUGCGGAGGGGUCUUGUGCCCGAGGAGAAACUGUUCUAGCUCUGAGCACGGGCCAACCUGGGUGCCAAUCCUGACUGCUACUUCCUGGCUCUGUGGCCUUGAGCAAGGGGCGAAACCUUCCCCCCUCUCAGUCUACUCAUCCCUACAGUAGGGAUGAUUCUUC